UGACAUGCUGUCAAAAGGCUAAUAUAGACUGGGUGUGGUAGUGCACACCUUGAAUCUGAGCACUAGGAAAACAGGCAGGUGGAUUUUUGAGUUCAAGACCAGAGUGGUCUACAGAGUGAGUUCUACAACAGCCAGGGCUACAUAGAGGAACCAUGUCUCUAAAAAAAAAAAAAAAGAAAGAAAGAAAAAGAAAAGAAAAAAGAAAGAAAUCAAAACAAAACAAAAAGAAGAAAAGAUAAAAAGGAAGGCCAUUAUGGUCAGUAGCCCUAACCUCACUAACUGACAUACUCCCAAACCAGGCUUCUUGGGCCAGGUCUGUCCCAUGAGUCAAAUUUAGGAAAGCAAGGAUAGGUUUUGUCAUAGAUAUGGAUAGUUGGACAUACAAAAUAAAGACCUAGAAUCCAGUCAUAGUUUCUCACUGAAUAGUUGGUAGGUUUCAGAAUAAACUCAGAGAAAACUUCAGGCUAAGAGACAGUGCUGCGUAGCUGUGUUGUUUCCUGUUAUGAGCAUUGGAAAUUGGGUUCUCCUUCUGUGAGCAUGGAGUUGAAUGGAAUGCCCACCAGGCCGAGUCUUCUUAGAUGACUGAGCACUGCUUGAUGUUGUGUUUUGAAUAAUUUAAUCUGUACAAUAAAUACAGUAUAGGCUG
rnacentral:lncRNA from 1 species